UACAGGGUUGGAUAGGUGAAAACGCGUUG
rnacentral:piRNA from 1 species